GCAGGAGCCGCCCUUCCAGAGGAAGGACAUGAAGAGUAUGAGGAAGCCCCUCCUUCUAGCUCAGCCUCAAGAGCAAACGCUGCUCCUCCUCCACCUCCCCCUGGGUCUUCCUC
rnacentral:ribozyme from 1 species